rnacentral:rRNA from 1 species
CGAACGAGUUCUCGUUGAUGAUCGGUGCUUGCACUGAGAUUCAACAUGGAACGAGUGGCGGACGGGUGAGUAACACGUGGGUAACCUGCCCUUAAGUGGGGGAUAACAUUUGGAAACAGAUGCUAAUACCGCAUAGAUCCAAGAACCGCAUGGUUCUUGGCUGAAAGAUGGCGUAAGCUAUCGCUUUUGGAUGGACCCGCGGCGUAUUAGCUAGUUGGUGAGGUAAUGGCUCACCAAGGCGAUGAUACGUAGCCGAACUGAGAGGUUGAUCGGCCACAUUGGGACUGAGACACGGCCCAAACUCCUACGGGAGGCAGCAGUAGGGAAUCUUCCACAAUGGACGCAAGUCUGAUGGAGCAACGCCGCGUGAGUGAAGAAGGCUUUCGGGUCGUAAAACUCUGUUGUUGGAGAAGAAUGGUCGGCAGAGUAACUGUUGUCGGCGUGACGGUAUCCAACCAGAAAGCCACGGCUAACUACGUGCCAGCAGCCGCGGUAAUACGUAGGUGGCAAGCGUUAUCCGGAUUUAUUGGGCGUAAAGCGAGCGCAGGCGGUUUUUUAAGUCUGAUGUGAAAGCCCUCGGCUUAACCGAGGAAGCGCAUCGGAAACUGGGAAACUUGAGUGCAGAAGAGGACAGUGGAACUCCAUGUGUAGCGGUGAAAUGCGUAGAUAUAUGGAAGAACACCAGCGGCGAAGGCGGCUGUCUGGUCUGUAACUGACGCUGAGGCUCGAAAGCAUGGGUAGCGAACAGGAUUAGAUACCCUGGUAGUCCAUGCCGUAAACGAUGAAUGCUAG